UGAACUAUAGCUCAAUGGUAGAGCGAUCCACUCAUAAUGGAUUGAUCUCAGUUCAAUUCUGAGUAGUUCAA
rfam:Candida maltosa Xu316 contig5496_C17258, whole genome shotgun sequence.